rnacentral:piRNA from 1 species
UACGAAGGGUGAUCUGAAGA